AUUGAACGCUGGCGGUAUGCUUAACACAUGCAAGUCGAACGAUGAGAAAGAGCUUGCUCUUUCGAUUAGUGGCGGACGGGUGCGUAACGCGUAGGAAUCUACCUAUUAGUGGGGGACAACUUAGGGAAACUUAAGCUAAUACCGCAUACGCCCUACGGGGGAAAGAAGGGGAUCGCAAGACCUUUUGCUAAUAGAUGAGCCUGCGUAGGAUUAGCUAGUUGGUGGGGUAAAAGCUCACCAAGGCGACGAUCCUUAACUGGUUUGAGAGAAUGAUCAGUCACACUGGAACUGAGGCACGGUCCAGACUCCUACGGGAGGCAACAGUGGGGAAUAUUGGACAAUGGGCGAAAGCCUGAUCCAGCAAUACCGCGUGUGUGAAGAAGGCCUUAGGGUUGUAAAGCACUUUCAAUUGGAAGGAAAACCUCGAAGCUAAUACCUUCGAGUUUGACAUUACCUUUAGAGGAAGCACCGGCUAACUCCGUGCCAGCAGCCGCCGUAAGAC
rnacentral:rRNA from 1 species